UCAAAUCAGUCGCAGCAGUAAAGGGGGAAAUGCAUGCAGAAGAAAAACGGACCAAUGAAGAGGGGGCGGAGCUGCAAUCAGGAGAGGAGGUGAGCCACGUUGCUGCCUCCGUUCAGCCCGUCGCCACUGAGCCGUCCUUGUCGCCGAUGACGUAGAACCGAGAGAGAGGAACGUACGAGGAGAGGAAGGCGCCGUCUCUGGAAGCUGCGCCGUCGUUCUUACUGCGUCGCCGUCGUCCUUGCCACAGAGCCAGUCGCCGUCCUUAUGGCAGAUAGAGGGAGAGAGCGCGCGAUAGGGGAGCCCUGUUGAAGCCGGUCUGCUGCCUCUAUUUCCGCCGCUGUGUCACGGAGAAGAGAGAGAGCCGCGCCGCACCUCAAUCACUGCUAACCCACCGAAGCUGGCGCACAGAAGAGGGGAAGGGACGCUGCCUUGUGUCGUCGCUGGCGUGCCUGGGCACUGUUGCUGCGAACGUGCCAUCGCCGGAGCUGGGUGGUUGCUGUCAUGGGAACCGUGAAAGGAGGGAGAAGCCGUGCCGCUUUUCUGGCCGCCAGAGCUUCUAUGGCAGUCAGAAGCUGCCACUGCCCAACCAGCUGCAACAGGGGUUGUCUGCUGUCAUGUAGGGCUGCUGGAGAAGCUGUUGUGGCUGCCGGAACCAUCACUGGAACUUCUGCAGUUUGAUUCAGUCUUUAAUCCUUUCUCACGGGUCAAGCUAUGGUUAUUGCGGGUCACGAUUAAAGCUGCCGCCGAGCCGGUUCGGAGACCGCCGCUGUUCGGUUCAUCCGUUCCUUCUUCGUUUCGAGUCGUUGAGAUUGUUGCGAAAGUGGCUAAGAGCUGAGGUUUUGGCUGCUGUGAUUUCGAGUUGAGGCGAAAAGGACUCUGUGAGACGUUUGGGGUUAUGGAUUUGCGUUUUGAGGAUAUGGGCGCAGAAGUUACGAAGAGCUUAUUUAAUUGUUGUUGUGAUGCUCUGUAUUGUUUUAGUUAUGGUUUAUUGUACCCUCGCCUUUAUCUUGAUAUAAUCUGUAAGAAGGAUAGGAAUUGCAUUGGUUAAUUCUUGUAAAGUUAUUUAUAUAUGUAUUUAUGUAUAUAUAUGGAUGUACUCUUUAUGAGUUGUU